rnacentral:rRNA from 1 species
AGUGAACGCUGGCGGUAGGCCUAACACAUGCAAGUCGAACGGCAGCACAGUAAGAGCUUGCUCUUACGGGUGGCGAGUGGCGGACGGGUGAGGAAUACAUCGGAAUCUACUUUUUCGUGGGGGAUAACGUAGGGAAACUACGGUUAAAACGCCAAACAACCAAGGGGUGAAGCAAGGGGUCCUCCGAACUUUCCCCACUGAAUUAACCCAAGUUCGGUUUAGCUAGUUGGCGGGGAAAAGGCCCACCAUGGCGACGAUCCGUACCUGGUCGGAGAGGAGAAUGAGCCACAAUGGAACUGAGACACGGUCCCGACCCCUACGGGAGGCAGCAGUGGGGAAUAUUGGACAAUGGGCGCAAGCCUGAUCCAGCCAUACCGCGUGGGUGAAGAAGGCCUUCGGGUUGUAAAGCCCUUUUGUUGGGAAAGAAAAGCAGCAGGUUAAUACCCCGCUGUUCUGACGGUACCCAAAGAAUAAGCACCGGCUAACUUCGUG